CUGGCCUAUUUAAAUUUUAUGGUUUUUUUUUUUUUUUUUACAGUAGUUUUGUAUGGAGGGUAUAAAACUCUUCACAACAUUUUUUUUGGGGUGCAGGGGGCUAACCUCUUGGUAGUUGCCUUUGUUUGUAAGUUACCUCUAAAUAAAGUUCAGAAUUGAAAGUUGUUUGGUGUUAUCAGCGUAUUAUUGAAAGCUCAGAAUUGUAGGGACCAGAAUUUUACAGAUUCUCUAAUGUCUUUAAUCAAUUAGAUAAUUCAUGUUACGUGAACAACAAACCAAUGAUGCUAGUUGAAUCCUGGAAUUUAAACUUGCAACAAAGUGAAUAUAACACAGUUAAUGGUUAUUCUUAAUAUAUUAUAAAUAGUAAAGGGAUUUAUGUAAAUAUUUAUUGCUUUUACCCAGCUAAUAAACGUUUUCACCUGGGAUAGAAUGAUACUGGGGUGGAUACGGAGAGUUCGUUGUAAAGGGAAUGUUCUUUCUCUGUUUUUGUUUUUAUACUCUGCUUUCUCUUUGAAGUUGUUCUUUCCUGUAUUUGAUUUUGAGAGACCCUGAUUGACUCCCAAUACCUGGAUAUAGAGAUUUAAAAAAUUUUUUAAACAAAACAAAACAGGGCCUUGCUAUGUCACCCAGGCUGGAGUGCAUGUAGUGGUGUGAUCAUAGCUCACUGCAGCUUCAAACUCGUGGGCUCAGGCUAUCCUUUUGCCUUAGCCUUCCAGAUAGCUGGGACUACAGACAUGUGCCACCACACCUGGCUAAUUACAGAACAUUUUUUUAAAAAAUAGAGACAGAGUCUCACUAUGUUGUUUAAGUUGGUCUCAAAUUCUUGGGCUGAAGGGAUCCUCUCACCCUGAUCUCCCUAAACUUCCUUCUGAUUAGUGAUACCUGAUCUGCAUUAGGGUUCCAGCCUGUUUUUGGAACCAUUUUUGACCUUCUUAGGGAAACUAGUAGUCUGUAAGUUUGUGAGGUUAUGGUGGGCAUGGGAGUAUUAGAUAUGUAAAAGUUUUCUAAACUCCUCAGAAAACUUUUAGUCUUCAGUGGACUUGGGGAUUUUGCCUGAGGCCAGAGUUUUGAAAACAGCAGCCUGGCUUUCUUUUGAAGGGUGGAGGUAAGUCCUUAAUGGAAAUUAUGGGGUUGUCUAUUCCAUACUACGUGGGUGCUCAGCAACAGGGGAGAUAGGACUGUGAUAUCUAAGGCAGGAGGAUAUGAGGGAGCCCUGUGAUGAUAAAUUGUGAGAGUAGUGUGAGGUCUUCAUCUGAAGAGUCAGAACAUUGGGAUUUUAGCAGAUAAAGGCUGAGCUUUCAAGGCAGGAGGUCAUGGAGAAAGAGCUGCCUUUUCUUACCUCUUGCCAGGGAAUUAUUCAAGGAAGUUAAUUUUGAGUUACUGAGCCAUUAGUUGUGUUAGUGUGAGAGUUUAAGAAUGUAGAUGAUUGCUUUGGGGUUUUAUCUCCUUUGGUUCUAAGGAAUUGUGGGGGUAUAAGCCCUUGUUGAAAUUCCGUUUCCCAAAGUGGUCACUGUAAUUACAAAGUAUUCUUGGUAAAAUUUUGUCAUAGUAUUUAUCAGACAUGUAUAUGAAUUUGGACUAUAAUGAAUAACAUAUAAGAUUCAGGAGUCCUGACAGGAUUUGACUCUUUUACUUAACAGACCCCACCAUAACAAAUACCAAAAAGGAGAACUCUUUCACUAUUUAAUAGAAAAUGUAUACAUAGAAUACCUAGUCAGUUGAGACAGACCCGGUAGUUUAGGAUCUCCAGCCCUUGAAUCUGGUCCAAACUAGACUUUUCUGAAUAAUCUCUUAGGACAUAGAUGGACUAACAAUGGAACAUACAGACGGGCGCAGUGGCUCACGCCUGUAAUCUCAGCACUUUGGGAGGCUGAGGCAGUCGAAUCACAAGG